rnacentral:rRNA from 1 species
AGCAGCCGCGGUAAUUCCAGCUCCAAUAGCGUAUAUUAAAGUUGUUGCAGUUAAAAAGCUCGUAGUUGAAUUUCGGGAUCAAGGAAUCGGUCAUGCCUCGGUAUGUACUGGUUUUAUUGGUUCUCACCUUCUAAAGAACCAUGAUGUCAUUCAUUUGAUGUUAUGGGGAAUUAGGACUGUUACCUUGAAAAAUUAGAGUGUUUAAAGCAGGCUUACGCUUGAAUACAUUAGCAUGGAAUAAUGAAAUAGGACAUCAGAUUCUAUUUUGUUGGUUUCUAGGAUCGAUGUAAUGAUUAAUAGGGAUAGUUGGGGGCAUUAGUAUUCAAUUGUCAGAGGUGAAAUUCUUGGAUUUAUUGAAGACUAACUACUGCGAAAGCAUUUGCCAAGGAUGUUUUCAUUAAUCAAGAACGAAAGUUAGGGGAUCGAAGACGAUCAGAUACCGUCGUAGUC